UCUUUAUGUAUUCUGCUGUGAGUCCCUAUUAGGUAUACCUUCUCGAAGGUUAGCCAACACGUCAUUCUGCUUGUGGAUGUUGACUUACAACUUGAUAAUAAUGGCAACAUACUUGCUGGUCGAUUUGCUGCUAGUGACAUUCGACAUACAGCAAGAAAU